rnacentral:lncRNA from 1 species
UGGGCUUCUUGGGCUCCGGGGGCGGAACCUUGUCGACGGUGACGGUGAGCACCCCGUCGCGGCACACGGCGGUGAUGGCGUCGACGUUGGCGUCCUCGGGGAGCACGAACCUCCGCAUGAGCUUCCCCAUCCUCCGCUCCAUCCGCAGGUACUUGGCCCCCUCCUUCUCCUCUUCGUCUCCUCCUCCUCCUCCUCUCUUCCUCUCGCCGCUGAUGACGAGGACGCGGCCCUCCUCGACCUCGACCUUGAUCUCCCCCGAUUUCACCCCGGGCAUGUCCACCACGAACACGUAGGCGUUGGGCAGCUCCUUCACGUCCGCGGGGGUCGACGCCAUUGCCCUCGCGUCGCGCACGUACUUCCGCGUCGGCGCGUUGAAGGUCUUCUCCGUCUCCUCCGGGAUCUCCAUCAGCUGCUGCAGCGUCGAGAGCAGCGGGUUCUCCAGCCCAAACACGCGCACGUCCAUUGUUUUCUUUUCCUUGUCGAAUCGAAGGCCCGAUGCAGGUUUUCUCUCCUCUCGUCGAUCUGAGGGGAGAGGGAUGGGGGGGUUCGGGAGAAUUUAAAGUGCGAGGGGAGAGAGGAAGAAGGUGAUGGAUGGAAUUACCUUUAGCUUCGUCUGGGGGUGUGGAGUAGGAUCGAGAACGCGAUGGAAGGUUCGGUUUGUUUCUAGAAGUUCCGAGAUCGUUCUCUUCGAAUCCUCCUAGGAGAAGUGGAAUUUCGGCCCAUUAGUGAGCCCAAAUCACUUCAUACCACCCCAAAAAGAAAACAAUCACUUUAUAGUUAUCCGGCCCAAACUCUCAACCCGGUACGAGCAGGAAAUUAAUUGUGUGAACUUUUUUAGUGCCUAAUAUCGUGGUCCACAUAACGAAACAUUUACUUAUUAUUUCAACAUCUUCUUCUAACAAAAAGCAUUUACUAGUGCAACUCUUAUAUUUCCCCCUCUACCCCGCGAGCUGCAGAUUUACAUUCUCUUCUUGUAGCAACAAGGAGAGGAAAAAACCAAAAAAAAAAAAAAAAAAACACCCUCUUAUAAGUGAUCCAUCCACAUCAAACACUAACAAAACCAUGCAGAUAUAUACAUGAAGUUAACCAUUCGUACGUGUAUAUGCAUCCCUUUCUCUUCUCCUCACCCAGCCUUAACCUCAAAUGUCUUGCGCUUCUUCGGCUCCGGUGCCGGCGGCAUCCGCUCCUUAUACACCGCGGAUACGCUAUCGAGGUUCGCCGUCUCCGGCGGGAAGUUGCGCACGAACUUUCCCACCCUUCUCUCCGUCCUCAAAUACUUCACCCCCUCGUCGUCCGCCGCCCGCCUCUGCUCCCCGGAUAUCACCAGCAGCUUGCCGUCCUCCAGGCGGACUGUGACGUCCUCGCGGCUCGCCCCGGGCACGUCAACGGCGAUCACGAGCUGCCAUUGGGGAGCUCGAGCACGUCCGUCGGCGCAUUCACCACCGCCGCCUUCUUCGCCUGCGCGGGAGCGUUGGGAGCGUCCGACGUCGCCUGCUGCAGCGCCGAGAGCAAGGGGUGGUCGUCGACGCCCACCACAAUGUCCGUCUCUUCUCUUCGUUUUCUUCGCGUAAUAACCAAUAACAAUAGCAGCUUCUUUAGAAGAGGUAGUGUUGUGCAGCAUCCACCGCCUUACGUAGUCUCUGCUGUUUCUUAUAGAAGGGUGGCGCUGAGUUUAGGUGUUGCCACGUGGUACUCGGAUGCAGGACACGUGGCGUGUUGCCAGGACGGAGCUAUGUCGAGGCCCAAGGUGGCCAUGACCCCCUCAACUUCUCAGUAGAGGCCCAAGGACCCAUGACCCCCUCAACUUCUCAAUAUUUACUUAAUGGUCCUUCAUAGUUUUUUUUUUUUUGGCUCAUGGAUAGCUUAGUUUUUCAAUAUUUACUUAAUAGUAUGGUACCAACAUAACACACACACUCUCUCUCUCUCUCUCUCCCUCUCCUAAUCAGUAUAUUUUUUUACAGGUGAAAAUACAUUAACGAGUUUCUUACUUAUAAAGUAUUUUGUAAUGUAUUUCUCUACUCUAAAAAUUUUAUUUAAUAAUUUUUUAAACUUUUAUUUAUCUUAGAUAAGAUCUUUUAUUUGACUAAAUUAAGGAUUGCACUAAAUUUAAUAACUAUAUUAAUUUUAUUUAGUAAAAAAAUUAAGAUAUUACUGUUAAAUGUAGUAAAAUUUUUAAAUUAUUUUAAUAUAAUAAUAUAAAUAGAAUAAUUAGAAGUUAAAUAUAUGAAAAUAAAAAUAAUAAUGUUCAUGUUUUUACAUUAUUUGUUUUAUUAAUAAUUUUUUUAAUAAAAAAUUUUCGAUUAGAAAAAAUCUUGUUUAUUAUUUACUUAUUACUAAAGUUUCUAUUUGAAUAUAUUUCGGCCUCUCAAGAUUAAAUCCUAGCUUUGGCACUGCAUUAUGUUGCUAGGAGUCCCAUACCGAGGCUGUUCGGUAGGAGCACGAGCUUUUAUUUAAUAAGCUUAAUAGGGGAAUUUUGGAAAGAGAGUUAUUAGGUAAGCAUGUGAAAAAUGGUUAGUAUAACUUUCUAUUUUCGUUUAAUUUCGAAAUCUUUCGCCAUUUUGAUGACCACUGAGUAAUAUAUGUAUCUGGGUGUAGUCACUCAGGCGGAACGGAAAUCACAGUAGCAUGUGAUUCUGUUGUUCACAUCGACAAAGCAGAAACAUUUAUUGUAUCGCACUCAUUAUUCAUUAAUGUAGACUACACAAUAUUCACUAGUAUCAACAUAAAUGGAAGAAGCUGUUGUGGCGGGGAAGAAGUGGUUAGCAGAUUUAAUUUAAAAAGCCAUUAAUGUUGGUUAGGGAAAAAGUUAUUUGUAUUUUUUUCGAUCGGCUCUAAUCAUAUAAUAAGCUCCAGUCAAGCUACAAGAUAAACAGACACAACCGACAAUGGUGACACGUACAAUGCCUGAGAGAAUAACAUUACAAGAUAUAAAACAUUUCUUUAGACAAAUGAUUAGUACAUUCAUAGUCUAUGUAUUCCAACACAUACUUCACAAGCCCAGGUCGAACAAAAAAUAGACGGGCUUAAGUAAAUGUACUUAAUAAUGGCAACGGAAGCACCAGCUAUAUUCAGAAAUUUUUCUUACUUCAACUAAUAGUUUAAUAGUAUAAAAAUAGGAAGAGGGGAAAAAAAAAAAAAGAAAAGAAAUUUACCAGUCAUGUUCUGCUCUUAAAUUUCCUCUGAGCUUUUAAGUCCACAACAAUGACGGUGAUGUUAUCUUUACUCCCUUUCUGGAGAGCAAGCCUCGAGAGAUAGUCCGCGGCGGCUUGAGCUGCGGGAUCUGCUCCUUCACCUCUACUUACUGUGGAAGUGGCAGAUGACGACGAUGACGAAGAUGAUGG